rnacentral:lncRNA from 1 species
CUAAAUCUCAGUUCUUUUCUUUGUGUUGACUCUUUAGGUUUCCAAGUCUACUUUGUUUUGUUUUAUUUUUUCUCCAAGUUACUUCUUUGCACAUUUCCCUGAGAAUUAGCUACCAUCCAACUAGAAUUCCAAAAUAGUAGUUUCUGAGCAGGACGUUGAAUAUUUGGUACCCUCAAACUCUUUGGGGCAACAAGAUAGGGCCUAUGAUCCUUCAUGUUUUCUGAUCCAGAAGCUGGAAGGGAACCAUCUGUCCAGGAGACACCCAUCCAACAGUGGGGGACAGUGACCAGCUGUCUGGGAUGGUCAAGUACAUGCAGCCUGUUGGCUCAGUUCUCACUUGCUCUGUUUUCUCUGGGUCACGCUGCUGCAUCUUAUGCUGUAGUUGACAGUACUGCCUUUUCUCUAAGGUUGUGAACUGAUGCCUAAUUUCCAUGGUCUUCAGAUUAGCUGAGUUUGAGAAAUAUUUAGUAUGUAAUUCAUGAUGAUG